rnacentral:rRNA from 1 species
UGGGGAAUAUUGCACAAUGGGCGCAAGCCUGAUGCAGCCAUGCCGCGUGUGUGAAGAAGGCCUUCGGGUUGUAAAGCACUUUCAGCGGGGAGGAAGGCGAUAAGGUUAAUAACCUUGUCGAUUGACGUUACCCGCAGAAGAAGCACCGUCUAACUCCGUGCCAGCAGCCGCGGUAAUACGGAGGGUGCAAGCGUUAAUCGGAAUUACUGGGCGUAAAGCGCACGCAGGCGGUCUGUCAAGUCGGAUGUGAAAUCCCCGGGCUCAACCUGGGAACUGCAUUCGAAACUGGCAGGCUAGAGUCUUGUAGAGGGGGGUAGAAUUCCAGGUGUAGCGGUGAAAUGCGUAGAGAUCUGGAGGAAUACCGGUGGCGAAGGCGGCCCCCUGGACAAAGACUGACGCUCAGGUGCGAAAGCGUGGGGAGCAAACAGG